rnacentral:lncRNA from 1 species
CAAAGAUCAUGGUUUUUACAGUGGAAUGUCAACAGAAGUGAGGCUUCUGGACUUAAUGAAGAAAGUUUAUCAAAAACUGCAUGUACGAGUUUUGGAAGUUGGACAGUGGAAACAAAAACAGAAAAAGGAAGGAAGGGAGGGAAGACGGAAGGACCAAAGAGAAGCAGCCAUUUAAGAAGCUUACCAUGUUCAGCCCACCAUCCUGGGAAAGCCAGAGGACUGAAGUUCCAGAUGGAUAAAGAAGCCAUUGUGGAAGUAGAUUUUCAGCCCCAGCCCCUAAAGCUGAUGCCAUGAGGAUCAGAGCUAUACUUUUACUUCUCCAACCUACACAGAGGGUUUCUUUGGGGGCAGAGACUGAUGAGUGAAGAUUGGAGCUGAGACCAAGUCAUGAGUGUGACAUCCAAGAAGAUUCUUCCUAAGUUUAUUAUCCAACUAAGGUGGUUACAUUUGUACACUUUGUCCAUUAUGUAAAGAUUGUUAUUAUUAAAUCUAAACAAUCUUAUAGCUUUUAAUUUGUGGGGGUAGGAGGCACAAGUUUUAUCAUCAAUC